AUUGAACGCUGGCGGCAGGCCUAACACAUGCAAGUCGAGCGAGCGGCGGACGGGUGCGUAAUGUCUGGGAAACUGCCUGAUGGAGGGGGAUAACUACUGGAAACGGUAGCUAAUACCGCAUACCAUCAGAUGUGCCCAGUGGGGAUUAGCUAGUAGGUGGGGUAACGGCUCACUUAGGCGACGAUCCCUAGCUGGUCUGCGAGGAUGACCAGCCCCACGGGAACUGAUACACGGUCCAUACUCCUACGGGAGGCAGCAGGGGUGAAUAUUGCACAAUUGGCGCAAGCCUGAUGCAGCCAUGCCGCGUGUGUGAAGAAGGCCUUCGUGUUGUAAAGCACUUUCAGCGGGGAGGCGUUACCCGCAGAAGAAGCACCGGCUAACUCCGUGCCAGCAGCCGCGGUAAUAC
rnacentral:rRNA from 1 species